rnacentral:rRNA from 1 species
UGCAAGUCGAGCGAGCCCUUNNGGGCAGCGGCGGACGGGUGAGUAACACGUGGGCAAUCUGCCUUUCAGACUGGAAUAACACUCGGAAACGGGUGCUAAUGCCGGAUAAUACACGGGUAGGCAUCUACAUGUGUUGAAAGAUGCAACAGCAUCGCUGAGAGAGGAGCCCGCGGCGCAUUAGCUAGUUGGUGGGGUAACGGCUCACCAAGGCGACGAUGCGUAGCCGACCUGAGAGGGUGACCGGCCACACUGGGACUGAGACACGGCCCAGACUCCUACGGGAGGCAGCAGUAGGGAAUCU